rnacentral:rRNA from 1 species
UAAUACCGAAUAUGACCGCGCACUUCCUGGUGUGUGGUGGAAAGCUUUUAGCGGUGUGGGAUGGGCCCGCGGCCUAACAGCUUGUUGGUGGGGUAAUGGCCUACCAAGGCGACGACGGGUAGCCGGCCUGAGAGGGUGACCGGCCACACUGGGACUGAGAUACGGCCCAGACUCCUACGGGAGGCAGCAGUGGGGAAUAUUGCACAAUGGGCGCAAGCCUGAUGCAGCGACGCCGCGUGAGGGAUGACGGCCUUCGGGUUGUAAACCUCUUUCAAUAGGGACGAAGCGCAAGUGACGGUACCUAUAGAAGAAGGACCGGCCAACUACGUGCCAGCAGCCGCGGUAAUACGUAGGGUCCGAGCGUUGUCCGGAAUUACUG